GAUGAACGCUGGCGGUAUGCCUAACACAUGCAAGUCGUACGAGAGUUUUUAACUCUAGUGGCGGACGGGUGAGUAACACGUGAGAAUUUGCCUUUAGGAGGGGGAUAACAAUUGGAAACGAAUGCUAAUACCCCAUAUGCUUUUGAGUGAAAUGGAUUUUAUCCGCCUAGAGAGAAGCUCGCGGCUGAUUAGCUUGUUGGUAAGGUAAGAGCUUACCAAGGCGACGAUCAGUAUCUGGUUUGAGAGGACGAUCAGACACACUGGAACUGAGACACGGUCCAGACUCCUACGGGAGGCAGCAGUGGGGAAGUUUUCCGCAAUGGGCGAAAGCCUGACGGAGCAAUACCGCGUGAGGGAAGAAUGCCUAUGGGUUGUAAACCUCUUUUUUCUAGGGAGGAAUAAAAUGACGUGUACCUGAAGAAUAAGCAUCGGCUAACUCCGUG
rnacentral:rRNA from 1 species